rnacentral:rRNA from 1 species
UCAGAUUGAACGCUGGCGGCGUGCUUAACACAUGCAAGUCGCGCGUGAAAGGACUUCGGUCCGAGUAAAGCGGCGCACGGGUGAGUAACGCGUGGAUGAUCUACCCAUGAGUUGGGAAUAACGGCUGGAAACGGUCGCUAAUACCGAAUACGCUCCGAUUUCAUCUUCGGGGGAAAGGUGGCCUCUGCUUGCAAGCUACUGCUCAUGGAUGAGUCCGCGUCCCAUUAGCUAGUUGGUGGGGUAACGGCCCACCAAGGCGACGAUGGGUAGCCGGUCUGAGAGGAUGACCGGCCACACUGGGACUGGAACACGGCCCAGACUCCUACGGGAGGCAGCAGUGGGGAAUAUUGCGCAAUGGGCGAAAGCCUGACGCAGCGACGCCGCGUGAGGGGAAUGAAGGUCCUCGGAUCGUAAACCUCUGUCAGAGGGGAAGAACCGCCACGGGUGCUAAUCAGCCGUGGUCUGACGGUACCUCCAAAGGAAGCACCGGCUAACUCCGUGCCAGCAGCCGC